AAGCCUGGGACAGGAUUCAGACUCGAUACACUUGGAAAUCAGCCGAGUCUAGAGGGGCACUGCCAAAGCCACACAAGGCUUUCAACGGCAGCCUUCCGCUACCCACGGAUCACCAGCCACAUUUGCCCUGUGUCUGCCUGGUAGAACCCACCAGGAUUCCGGGAUUCGGGAAAAGAAAAAGAGCAAAGCCAGCUCCUGUGACAAAGGAGCCCUGCUGGGCCGGCUGGGGCUGAGGCCGGGAUGCUCGGGGAGACCCGGAGAGUCAGGAGGGCGGGCUCGGCCUCCUCUCCCGUAAAAUGGGAGCACAAAGCCCUCUCUCCUACCUCCCCUGGGGUGUCACGAGGAUCAAGCGAGAAGCUGGGCAAGGAGGCGCUUUAUAAAAGCUCCAUGAAAUGUGUAUAUAAGGACGAGGCCUUGGGAAUGUUUUCGUCCGUCAGUGAGGCAGUGCCGGGGAAGAAGCUUUAGAAAGACACAGAUGUCCAGAGGUCAGACCAAAGGAACCAGGGGCUGGAGGGGCAGUGGCCGGAGCCCCGCGCCCAUGCGGCCUCCCCUCCCUGCUGGACUGAGGCACCUUGAAGGGUGUGGAGUUUGGGGACAAAGAGGGGCCAAGGACUAGGUCUUCCAUGAACUUCUAUGCAGUAAUAUUAACAAAUCACCUACCCAGAGCAAAACAUUCGGACGCUGCUGCCGAAAGAGAAGGAAUAAACGCUUUUGAGAGAGAUUUCGAGUGGAGUCAGAAGCCUAUGACCUCCAAGUUUGGGCCUUUGAGGAGGGGAAAAUAAGGAACCAGCGAUGCAAACUCACCAGGGAUGCGAACUCUGGAGAAGGCCCACGCGGGGAAGGCACGCCAAGCACCCACGGACCCCUACCCCCACCAGCUCACUCAGAAUGUUACCACACCCAACUUGGGUCCACUCACCUGCCACAGUAAAGCCGAUCUAGUGACACAGAGCCAUGGGAAGGAAGGGGCCGUGUUUCUUGCAAGAUGCUGGAGCUCGAAAAGCCCAAACUCCCUCGGGGCGGGGGGUGGGGGGGGUAAGCAAAGCAUUUUUAAAGACGAGGUGAGGGCGGGGCAUCCCAGGGCACAGGAUCCGCUGGUGCGCCUUCUCUGAUUGGUUGAUGGGUCGGUAAUUGAUGGGUCACAGGUGUUGACAGCCUCAGUCUUUAGGUCCUGGCUCCCUGCUUUUGGUCCUCAAGCAGUUAAUCUCUUCCAUGUGAUGGGGUUUUAGCAUCUAGAAAACAACGCAGGAAACGUGCCGUGCCGCAGGUGCUAUGAUCCAGGCCCUUCAGAGAAGAGCUAAUAAUGCCGAGAGCGUGGAGGGGGGUCUCUCCCAGGAAGACCCCAGAGGGUGCUGCUUUUCUUACAAAAAGAAAUCUGCUUUUUCACAAACGCUUCUAGUCUAUCAGGCAAAAAUGAGGUAUGUGGGCCCCUGACUUGGUCACACUGGUGACAGUGGAGAACUGACUUCACGGCAAUCUUGUCAGUAAAGGUGUGUUUUCUUCAGGAG
rnacentral:lncRNA from 1 species